rnacentral:tRNA from 1 species
GGGAGCUCAGUUGGUAGAGCGCAACCUUGCCAAGGUUGAGGUCACGAGUUCGAACCUCGUGUGUCGCUCCA